GUGACUUGUGAGGGACGUUCCUAUAUGUAUGCUACUGCUCUCACUUUGAGCCAUCUAUCAAAGAAUGAAUUUCCUUGCUUUCCUUCUUUUGCUUAAUCGUAGAGCUCACCAACUGGUAUUAGAGCAACCGAUGCGUGGCACGCAAAAUCAGCAGCCCUUCCUCUACCAACACUACCACUAUUUCCACAGACCGCUUUGCCACUUUCCAAGCCUCUGUGGAUAUGCUCCAAUCGCACUGCACUUCUACCAGGUUCAAGACGGUGGAGAACAAGAAUGAGCCCCUCGGUUUGAAAGAGCUUAGAAAAUUAUGGGAGAAGCUUGAGCCUGAUCUUGCUUCGGCGAGAGGGGAGUACAAUGAAUCCAACACAAUAUUAUUGGAUGAUUCUCCAUAUAAGGCUUUGCUCAAUCCGGUGAACACCGCCAUAUUCCCUGAUUCGUAUCAGUUCAGGAACAGAGAAGAUUCUUCAUUAGUACCUGGAGGCAAUAUCCGUUCCUACCUGGAAUGGUUAGCUAUGGCUGAGAGUGUCCAAAAAUAUGUGGAACAGAAUCCAUUUGGUCAGCAACCCAUAACGAAAUUAAAUCCUUCUUGGAACUUCUACAAGAGAGUUAUAGGGGAUGUAGUACUCCUGAGAUGACUCGGCCUUUUUCAUCGAUGUUUUGCAGUUCCAUACCAUAUGUAAAUUUUCACUUUAGCAUGUAUCUAUGCGACCCAUUAUUUUCUGUUGUCUCAGUUUUGCUUAAAUGAGAUGUACCAAGAAUACUUCUUCUAGAAGAGAUCGUCUAUUAGGGUGCUGAAUCCCAUUAGUUAAGGCAUAUCUAGAAUCUUUUGUGUUGUUUGUUUGCAAGUUUUUGAAGGCUAUCAAUGGUUGGUACUGGUUGAUCUUUAUUUACCAUGAUCAACUUGGCAUGUGCUGCUAGCCCGACCCAACUGAAUUUGGAUUCAGACCAUCCGGCAAAUCAAUUGCUUGACUUGGGUUCAUCCAAUUCUGUGAUCUCUGCCAUUUCAGAACUUCUUGAUACUUUUCCAUAUUGCUCAACGAUUGCAUGCCGACCAGCUUUUCUUUUACUUUAUUUAGAUCGAUUACUUCCUUCUAGACCCUAUAAAAGUUUAUUCUGAAAAGGAACUAAUAAGAGAAGUGGAGAAAAGAGCUUCUACCCUUGUACCAGAGAAAGACUAGUCGAUUCGGAUUGCUGCAAUGCAGAGAAUAGAUCAAUAGAAGGGCUUGUCUAUGGAGGGGUACACCAGUCUCAUUUACUCCCCAGCCAUCUGCUUCUGCUAAUCUACCUGGAUAUGGAACUUCGGCUACUGUUGCAAUGGAUAGAACUUCUAGUUUAUCCUCUAGGACUUCUUUCUCUUCAGGACUUCAUCUGUCACAAGCGAAGUUACAUGGUAGAGGUACUGAGCCUAGUCUGGAAAGUGUGUUGCAUGCAAGCAAACAGAAGGUCAGUGCAAUUGAAAGCAUGCUUAGAGGUUUGGAGUUGUUUGACAGACAUAAUUCUUCAACUUUUUGGUCAUCUGGUCUGGAUCUAGUACAGGAGCUGAUCCUCCAUCAUAUUGUGAUCCACAUUCCCUGCUGCUGUCCCAGCUUCUAAUCAUCUUUCAAACUGUCUAAUGACAGAUUCAACCACCUCAAAUAACAAAGGUAGUAACCGCAAUGAUGCCCUGGUUUUGUCUGAUAUCAUUACGCAAAUUCAAGCUUCCAAAGAUUCUGCUAAAUCAUCAUAUCGCAGUAAUUUAUCAGCUGAAACACUGCCAACUGUUUCAUCCUACAGCAUAAAGAGGGCUUCUGAGAGAAUCCACGAAAUGGGUUUCAUUGAAGAGAGUACUGACAGUAGGGAAGCUAGGCGAACUAUGAAUAAUCAAGCUGACAGGCAUUAUGUCCACAUCUCGCCGCCCGGGGUGGGGAAGGCGCGCUUUAGGGUUCACUUAAUAAUAACCAUAUCCCCAAUUUUCAGAGGCCCCUCUUAAGAAAGAAUGUGACAGGAAGGAUAUCUGCAGGCAGGAGGAGAGGUUUUGAUGAUAGCCAACUCUCACAGGAGAUGGCAAAUCAUGUAGAAGGUCCAGCAUCGUUCAAUGAUGCACUGAGCGAAGGACUGAGUUCAUCUUCAGACUGGUCAGCUUUCUUUUUCUUUUUCUAUAAUGAAAGGGUUGUUGUGCCCUUUGUUAUUUCUUGCUUUUGGGAAGGAUCAUGUAGGAUGGAACUAUGAAAAGACUGGAAAUCCUGUUCAUCUGCAUGUUAAGCAAACUAAGUGUUGGUUCCUGAAGAGCCUUUAAAGAAACCAACGCUCAU